rnacentral:rRNA from 1 species
CUGUGCAAAGGUAGCAUAAUCACUUGACUUUUAAAUGGAGCCUAGCAUGAAAGAGAGAACGUAGAUAAAUUGUCUCAUUAGCAUUACUUUAAAAUUAAUGUAUAAGUGAAAAUACUUAUAAAUUUAAAAAUAGACGAGAAGACCCUUAGAAUUUUUAAAAUAAACAUUGAUUAAAUGUAAGGUUUUUUGUUGGGGCAACAAUAUUUCAUUUAAUAAAUAUAUGAUUUGCAUAAUAAGUCGAUUUAAUAAUUAUAGUAAAAUUACCUAAGGGAUAACAGCAUAAUUUUAAAAGUAAGUUUGUGACCUCGAUGUUGGACUAGGUACUAUUAAGGCUAAUCGUUUUAAUAUAAUAUGUUCUGUUCGAACUUUGUUACCUACAUGAUC